rnacentral:rRNA from 1 species
UACGGAGGAUGCGAGCGUUAUCCGGAUUUAUUGGGUUUAAAGGGUGCGUAGGCGGGCUUUUAAGUCAGCGGUAAAAAUUCGGGGCUCAACCCCGUCCGGCUGUUGAAACUGGGGGCCUUGAGUGGGCGAGAAGAAGGCGGAAUGCGUGGUGUAGCGGUGAAAUGCAUAGAUAUCACGCAGAACCCCGAUUGCGAAGGCAGCCUUCCGGUGCCCUACUGACGCUGAGGCACGAAAGUGCGGGGAUCGAACAGG